rnacentral:sRNA from 2 species
AUGUACCACUCGCACAUUCCGGUUCUGAGCGCGCCGCCAGCACUCACCUGACGAUCGCGCGCUACGUUUUGGUAGCC